UUUCCGUAGGUGAACCUGCGGAAGGAUCAUUAUUGUAUAACCGAGGUGCGAGGGCCGUCCCCGACCCGAUAGACCGUGCACGCUUGUGUGCUCUUACACACAUCCAUCUCACCAUUAUGUGGAGAACCGCGAGGGGCCUCCUCUGGAUUGCUCGGGGGGGGGCUCAAGUUUCUACACAAACUUUGUAUGCAGUGUAGAAUGUAACUUAUGUUUUUCAGCUAACGCAAUCAAUAUAACUUUAAACAAGGGAUCUGUUGGCUCUCGCAUCGAUAAAGAACC
rnacentral:misc_RNA from 1 species